rfam:Plicaturopsis crispa FD-325 SS-3 unplaced genomic scaffold PLICRscaffold_8, whole genome shotgun sequence.
GCGCCCAUAGCUCAGUGGUAGAGCUCUGUACUUAUGUGGAUAUCCUAACGCUAUGCAGCGGUCCCGAGUUCGACCCUCGGUGGGCGUA